rnacentral:Y_RNA from 1 species
GGCUGGUCCGAUGGUUAUCAGAACUUAUUAACAUCAGUGUUACUAAAGUUAGUAUACCCUCCCUCCCACUGCUAAGUUUGACUGGCAAAA